CUACGGAGGGUCCAAGCGUUAUCCGGAAUCAUUGGGUUUAAAGGGUCCGCAGGCGGUCAAUUAAGUCAGAGGUGAAAGCCCAUCGCUCAACGAUGGAACUGCCUUUGAUACUGGUUGACUUGAGUUAUACGGAAGUAGAUAGAAUAAGUAGUGUAGCGGUGAAAUGCAUAGAUAUUACUUAGAAUACCGAUUGCGAAGGCAGUCUACUACGUAUAUACUGACGCUGAGGGACAAAAGCGUGGGGAGCGAACAGGAUUAGAUACCCUAGUAGUCC
rnacentral:rRNA from 1 species